rnacentral:lncRNA from 1 species
GUGUUUCAAGUUUCCAUGAUGUGUUCAGGCAAGCUACCUAUUUAUCAAGAUGUACCACACAAUUUGUGAGUCUUUAAGUCUGUGUACUUUAUGCCUCUUUAAAUCUGCAGCCAUUUUUAUGUACGGUCUACACUAGUAGCCUGAGUCUCAACUCAUAAUCACAGACAACUUGAAAAGUACUUAAUAUUCUGCUGUAAUUUGACUGUGUGUGUUUGUGUGUGUGCGCAUGGAUGUGUGCGUGUGUCUACGUAAUAAUUUGUGUAUGGAUGAAUGUGGAUGGAUGUUUGCCUCUAUACGUGUGUGUCUGUGUGUGUGUGUGUCUGUGUGGGUGUGUGUGUGUGUGUGUGUGUCAGGCGGACUCCUCUGAGUGUCUGCGUCAGUGUGGCCUUUCUCAGCUCUUCAGUGUCCCAGUGCUGGUUACACGCACACGUGUCGGCCCUGUGGUGGCCCUGCCCACUCCCAUAGCCAUCCCCCGCUGGAAACUCAUCCGUCCACGCCGGCAACACCUACCCACUGACGAGCCUAAAGUGCCUCCUGUAGUGAAGCCAGAGGAGUUCAUAGAGGUUGUCAGUCCCUUUUUAAACUUUCGACUGAAGACCUUGGCAACAGAGAUGCGCAAGAAGCAAACUUAUAACUCCGCCUUGGCAUCGUUUACGGAACAGGACGAGAGUGAACGGGAGAUCAUCACUGACAGCCUCCAGUCGGAGCAGGCAGAUGCCGGGGAGCCUGCCGAGGAAUCGUGUUCUCUGUGGAAUGUGUGGAAUGCUGUGGUGUUCCAAAUCUCUACUGGCGACACCCUCCACAUCGCUCGUAGAACAUCGUCUGAAGAUGCCAGAGCACACUGUAGAAUAGAACUUGCUACACAGUUGUGCAGUACAGUACUACAAUACCCACAACACCAUACAGUCUACAGCACAAUUUCACAACACAACACUAUAUGUCUUGUCUUAUAGUGUCUAUAGGGACUGCCUGGAUGUUGUAGUUCACUUGUGGACUAGACAUGUUAGGCGUUUUUCUGGACUUGGAAGUGUCCGUGAAUAAUGUACUUAAAAUGGUGAAUAACAUGCUCAGGGUGCCCGCCAUCCUCUAACUCAACUGGUAAAACUAUCCUAGAGAGCAUAUAUACUUACGGACUGAAUACCUCACCUUUUAUUGUAAGAUGCUUUUGGUACAACAAAAAAACAAAUAAAAGUGGUAAGAUUUAGUGGAUAUAUGUAGUA